GUGGGGAAUCUUGCGCAAUGGGCGAAAGCCUGACGCAGCCAUGCCGCGUGAAUGAUGAAGGUCUUAGGAUUGUAAAAUUCUUUCACCGGGGACGAUAAUGACGGUACCCGGAGAAGAAGCUCCGGCUAACUUCGUGCCAGCAGCCGCGGUAAUACGAAGGGGGCUAGCGUUGCUCGGAAUUACUGGGCGUAAAGGGUGCGUAGGCGGACAGCUUAGUCAGAGGUGAAAGCCCAGGGCUCAACCUUGGAAUUGCCUUUGAUACUGGCUGUCUUGAGUACGGGAGAGGUGAGUGGAACUCCGAGUGUAGAGGUGAAAUUCGUAGAUAUUCGGAAGAACACCAGUGGCGAAGGCGACUCACUGGCCCGUUACUGACGCUGAGGCGCGAAAGCGUGGGGAGCAAACAGGAUUAGAAACCCGGGUAGUCC
rnacentral:rRNA from 1 species